UAGCCGUAAACGAUACUCGCUAGGUGUCGGCCACGGUGCGACCGUUGUCGGUGCCGUAGGGAAGCCGUGAAGCGAGCCACCUGGAAGUACGGCCGCAAGGCUGAAACUUAAAGGAAUUGGCGGGGGAGCACCACAACGGGUGGAGCUUGCGGUUUAAUUGGAUUCAACGCCGGAAAUCUUACCGGGACCGACAGCAACAUGAAGGCCAGGCUGAAGACUUUGCCGGAUUAGCUGAGAGGUGGUGCAUGGCGUAGUCGUGU
rnacentral:rRNA from 1 species